UACACGAAAGUGUGACGGGGUUACCCAAAGUGUUCAAUUUUGAACUGUGGUAGGUGAGUAAUGUUCCCUACUAGAAAGGAGAGGGCAAGGCUGGUGCCAGCCGCCGCGGUAAAACCAGCUCUUCAAGUGGUCGGGAUAAUUAUUGGGCUUAAAGUGUCCGUAGCCGGUUUAGUAAGUUCCUGGUAAAAUCGGGUAGCUUAACUAUCUAUAUGCUAGGAAUACUACUAUACUAGAGGGCGGGAGAGGUCUGAGGUACUACAGGGGUAGGGGUGAAAUCUUAUAAUCCUUGUUGGACCACCAGUGGCGAAGGCGUCAGACUGGAACGCGCCUGACGGUGAGGGACGAAAGCCAGGGGAGCGAACCGGAUUAGAUACCCGGGUAGUCCUGGCCGUAAACGAUGCAUACUAGGUGAUGGCACGGCCAUGAGCCGUGUCAGUGCCGUAGGGAAACCGUUAAGUGUGCCGCCUGGGAAGUACGGUCGCAAGG
rnacentral:rRNA from 1 species